rnacentral:rRNA from 1 species
CAAUAGCGUAUAUUAAAGUUGUUGCAGUUAAAAAGCUCGUAGUUGGAUUUGUGGCGUACGGUGUGUUCCGGGCACUUGUUGUCUGAGUAACCUGCUGUUGCCAUCCUUGGGUGGAACCUGUGUGGCAUUAGGUUGUCGUGCAGGGGAUGCCCAUCAUUUACUGUGAAAAAAUUAGAGUGUUCAAAGCAGGCUUAUGCCGUUGAAUAUAUUAGCAUGGAAUAAUGAGAUAGGACUUUUUUGCUAUUUUGUUGGUUUGCGCAAAGAGGUAAUGAUUAAUAGGGACAGUUGGGGGUAUUCGUAUUCCAUUGUCAGAGGUGAAAUUCUUGGAUUUUUGGAAGACGGACUACUGCGAAAGCAUUUACCAAGGAUGUUUUCAUUAA